UACGUAGGUGGCAAGCGUUGUCCGGAUUUACUGGGCGUAAAGAGCGCGCAGGCGGUCGAUUAAGUCGAAUGUGAAAGCCCCCGGCUCAACUGGGGAGGGUCAUUCGAUACUGAUCGACUUGAAGGCAGGAGAGAGAAGUGGAAUUCCCGGUGUAGCGGUGAAAUGCGCAGAUAUCGGGAGGAACACCAAUGGCGAAGGCAGCUCACUGGACCGGUUCUGACGCUGAGUCGCGAAAGCGUUGGGAGCAAACGGG
rnacentral:rRNA from 1 species